GAUGAACGCUGGCGGCGUGCCUAAUACAUGCAAGUCGAACGAAACUUCUUUAUCACCGAGUGCUUGCACUCACCGAUAAAGAGUUGAGUGGCGAACGGGUGAGUAACACGUGGGCAACCUGCCCAAAAGAGGGGGUUAACACUUGGAAACAGGUGCUAAUACCGCAUAACCAUAGUUACCGCAUGGUAACUAUGUAAAAGGUGGCUAUACUACCGCUUUUGGAUGGGCCCGCGGCGCAUUAGCUAGUUGGUAGGGUAAAGGCUUACCAAGGCAAUGAUGCGUAGCCGAAUUGAGAGGUUGAUCGGCCACAUUGGGACUGAGACACGGCCCAAACUCCUACGGGAGGCAGCAGUAGGGAAUCUUCCACAAUGGGCGAAAGCCUGAUGGAGCAACGCCGCGUGGGUGAAGAAGGUCUUCGGAUCGUAAAACCCUGUUGUUAGAGAAGAAAGUGCGUGAGAGUAACUGUUCACGUUUCGACGGUAUCUAACCAGAAAGCCACUGCUAACUACGUG
rnacentral:rRNA from 1 species